GCGUAGGGUAUGUAGGUCGUGAAAAACGGUUGAAAUGAAAGACUGGAUGGCAAUCCUUUAUGUUUCAUCUAAGAUUUCACUUGAGUUUUAGAAGGAUGAUGGUAUUUAUUAGGAAUGGUUAAAUAUGAGAUAAAUAAAGGACCGACAUUUGUGAAAGCAAUCAUCUGGUCAAAUACUGAGCUAAGGUACGAAGGCAGGGGAGCGAAACGGAUUAGACACCCGUGUAGUCCGUGCUGUAACGCUGAGUUUUCAAUGUAGGAAGGUUUUUACGCCAAAUUCUACGAAAAGGUAUAUCUCUAGGUGACAGAUAAGGAAAGGUUGAGAAAUCAAAUGAAUACUUAUAAACUUUUCUUUUAGAAAAGAUAAUAGAAUGUACUUAUUAAAGAUAUGUUCUCUGCUUUGCUUAAAAGAAGAAGGCAACAUAGCUGGGGCUCUGCUUGCCGAUGUAGGCUAUGCCGAAAUAGGUCUGAAAAACGUGAGAAAGAAAUUCUUGGUGUUUGAGUAACGCAUUAAAUUCUCCGCUGGGAAGUAC
rnacentral:rRNA from 1 species